AGGUAGUUUGACUCUGGCUACGAGGAUGAACGCUGGCGGCGUGCCUAACACAUGCAAGUCGAACGGGAACAGAAUGAACCUAGUGAUUUUUGUUUUAGUGGCGGACGGGUGAGUAACGCGUGGGUAACCUGCCGUAUACAGGGGGAUAACACUUAGAAAUAGGUGCUAAUACCGCAUAAGCGCACAGCUUCGCAUGGAGCAGUGUGAAAAGCGUAAACGGUAUACGAUGGACCCGCGUCUGAUUAGCUAGUUGCGGGGUAGAGGCCCACCAAGGCGACGAUCAGUAGCCGGCCUGAGAGGGUGACCGGCCACAUUGGGACUGAGACACGGCCCAAACUCCUACGGGAGGCUGCAGUGGGGAAUAUUGCACAAUGGGGGGAACCCUGAUGCAGCGACGCCGCGUGAGUGAAGAAGUAUUUCGGUAUGUAAAGCUCUAUCAGCAGGGAAGAAAAUGACGGUACCUGACUAAGAAGCCCCGGCUAACUACGUG
rnacentral:rRNA from 1 species